CCCCUUCCCUCUCCAGCUUCUAAUUGACACACAGCACAACAAACCCUCCCGGGACCUUCUUCUUCAUCUCAUUUUCAGCAAUCAACACCAAAAACGACCAGCCCUCACCUUGAAGAACCAAGGACGACUUUCCCCAUACACAACAGCCUUUUUCGACGUCGCCAGAGCAGCGGGCUUCGCGGCGGUGGAUUGAGCAGCACCGCUCCCUUCUUGCUCCUUCUUCUUCUUCUCCAAUCCAUCUUUUCUUCAUCCCCCUCAUCUGAAAUUCUCAUAAACACACAAGAAAUAGAAAGAGAAAGGAGCUUUGAAAUUUAAAAAAAAAAUCAAUCAAAAAAAUCAUAUCUAAAAUUUUUAAAGCUUAAAAGCUUUUUCCUGGGUCAUUGCCGUUUGAAGUGCGAAUUGCUGAUUUCUGCUUGAAGCCGAGCUCAAUUUGUAGAUCUCGUCUUGAUUUCACUUGCUAUCCAAGUUGUUUUGUAGAUCGUUGGUUGUACACCUUUCAUGGAGGUUCUGCUCCCUUUAAUUUAAAGAUAGACGCUCUAAAAGUUUAAAUAUAUUCUAUGUGGAAGAUGUUGUUUCUGCUGAAAUCAAUAAAGACAGCCUGCUGUUUGAAGUCUGAUUUUCACAUUCGUACUUCGGCCAUUUAGCUUCUUUCCUUUUCUCUCUUUCUUAAAUGUAAUAAAUAUGCAGUAAUACAUGCCUAGGUAGUUUAUGUUUUAAGUACUAAGUUUGUAUCAAAGUUCAGAGUAAAGCUAUGGUAGUAGUUAGCUCAUCUUCUCUGCAUAUGGAAAUUCGAUUAACCUUGUGUGAGGCAUUGGUAUUCUCUUGAAAAAUGGCUGCUGGAUUCCUCUCCAAUUGUUCAUUGAAUGUGGAGAAUAUCUAGCAGUGUGAUGAAAGGGCAUAAUCUAGCAUGUUUGGGACUGUUAGUUUAUAUUAAUUUCGUUUGUCAUUUUAUAGGUUAAGGUUCAUUAGUUGUCGUAUACCAAUUAAUUGUUUCUUCACAUGUUUCAAAGUUUUUAUCAAAUAGCGUUGAACCUACAUGAAAAUUGAUGCAA